UUCACACACUCAUUUUAAACAAAAAUGUCCCGACACAGAGGAGAGCUCAAGAACCCUAGAAAUCGGCCGACACUAAUCCACCGUCGUUCCUCGGCCUGCUAUGUUUGUCGUUCCUUUUGCUGGCUUCCCGCUUCUAGAUAUCUAUUGGAAGAACGAGCAUCGUUUGAUGUGUACAGGCGAGAUCUGCACUGCUGCCGAGAGAGAUCGUUAUGAGAAAGUCGUAAUUAUCUCUUUCCCUUAAUCAUUUGUUUUUAUGAUUAUUUAUUAAAUUGCACCUUCAAUUAUUUGAAAUGUUGAUGUGCCUGUUAUGAGUAUGUGCCCGAAUUUCUAAUUGGGGGCUUAGAUGUGCUCUUAUUAGUUGAUUGAAUUGAUUUUGUUUUGGAGUUUGUGAUUUUAGCUUAUAAAUGGCUGUGUGAACUUAGAACUUGUAUAUUUGCGGUGAGUUUAAGGUCAUCAUCAAGUCUGGAAUCAAAAGGAUCAAGUAUAGAGAUGUUAUGUAGGAAUGUCAUAUGGCCAAAGGAAGGGGGAGGAUUUGUUAAUGGGAAUGGUGGAAAGACAGCUGAUCCAUCAGAUUUGGUGAGUAAACCAUGGAGGCCACUCACCCGCAAAUUAAAGAUACCAGCUGCUGUUAUCAGCCCAUACAGUCACGUUUUGGGCAGGAGUGCAGGAGAAGGGAGUAUCUUUGCAAUUCCUCGCCGUUCCAAGAGAUGGAGAAGGAUUUUGACUCCACAAUUAAAAGGGAGUGCAUCAUUUGUCUGUAUAAUUUACACCUCACUGCUGCAAGUUGUCUGUGUUCGCCAGGAAAGUAUUCUUGUUUGCAACAUGCAAAGCAGCUUUGUUCUUGUUCUUGGAGUGAUCGAGUUUUUUAUUUUCGUUAUAAGAUUCAUGACUUGUACCUUCUUGGUGAAGCUUUGGAAGGAAGUCCAGGUGCAGUUUAGUGACAAAAAAAAAAAAGAAAUCCAGGUGCAGUUUAUAAAUGGGCUUCAGCAAAUCUGAAAAUGAGUAUUGAUUCCAGAGUUCCAUAUGAUGGCUCACCAAGAGCAUCCGUACCUGACAACUUAGUAAAAUCAAAGCACACAGAACCUCGAGAACAUAAUCCAUCUGCAGCACGAGCCUCAGAUAAGCUGAAAGAUGGAGGAAACAUAACUUUAGGGAUGAACACGAGGUGCUUACACUAGAAGAAAAGAAGGAAUAACUGGAUAAAGAUAUUGUAAGAGAAACAGAGUUUUGAAAAUGGACAUCUAAAAGGGCAGGGAGUACUAGACAAGUGUUGCACCCUCACAUAAUACAGUUUAUGAACAAUGUUUUGAUUUUGAGAAAUUCUAGACCAGCCCGGGGACCUGGAAUGUCUGGGUCCGUUCAUUCAUAUUCUUUGACAAAAGUUGGAAUUAAAGAAGUAGGUAUAUAUCUUAUUACUUAUUCUUUUUUGUGAAAAGAUCGAGAUUGUUUCAAAGAUCUGUAUUGUCUGUUUAGAGAAAAAUUAUAUAUGUUAAAUUACAUUC